GAUGAACGCUAGCGGCAGGCCUAACACAUGCAAGUCGAGGGAUAAGCCUUCGGGCUAAGACCGGCGCACGGGUGCGUAACGCGUAUACAAUCUGCCUUUUAUCCGGGGGAUAGCCCGAAGAAAUUUGGAUUAAUACCCUAUGGUAUAAGAGCACGGCAUCGUGCACUUAUUAAAGCUACGGCGGUAAAAGAUGAGUAUGCGUUCUAUUAGCUAGUUGGUGAGGUAACGGCUCCCCAAGGCGACGAUAGAUAGGGGUUCUGAGAGGGAUGUCCCCCACACUGGUACUGCGAUACGGACCAGACUCCUACGGGAGGCAGCAGUGAGGAAUACUGGACAAUGGUCGGAAGACUGAUCCAGCCAUGCCGCGUGCAGGAUGACGGCCUUAUGGGUGGUAAACUGCUUUUGUAAGGGAAGAAUAAGGAGUACGUGUACUUUGAUGACGGUACCUUACGAAUAAGCACCGGCUAACUCCGUG
rnacentral:rRNA from 1 species